AGUAUGGUAGCUCAAUUGGUCAGAGCAUCAGGCUAAUAACCUGAAGGUUGCCAGUUCAAGCCUGGCUCGUACUA
rnacentral:tRNA from 1 species